rnacentral:ncRNA from 1 species
AACCUGUACCAGUCCCUUUCCGAAAGUACGUGUUCCUAUAAUCACCGCACGAUCUAAAUCUUGAAGUGCACCGGCUAAGAUUUCGGAAGCAGAUGCAGUGCUGCUAUUUACCAAUACUACAAGAGGUAUAUUUGUAUCCAAAGGCUCACGUAAUGUUUUAUAUACAUUACUAGCUUGUUUAAGCCUGCCUUUUGUUGUUACAAUAGUUUUACCUUUUGGUAAAAAAUAGUUAGCUAUCUCAACAGCCUCGUCAAGCAGCCCUCCUGUAUUAUUACGUAA